rnacentral:tRNA from 1 species
GGUAUAUAGCUCAGUUGGUAGAGUGCUUGCCUUGCAUGCACAAGACCCUGGGCCUUGGGUUCAGUCCCCAGUACCA